AUUCAGCCGCAGCCGCCCGGGCGGAGCGCGUCCCGCAGCCGGCUGGUCCCUGUCGCUGCCCCUGCGCUCGUCCCAGCCCACCCGCCCGGUGCGGAGCUCGCCAUGGCGGCCACCGACCUGGAGCGCUUCUCGAAUGCAGAGCCAGAGCCCCGGAGCCUCUCCCUGGGCGGCCAUGUGGGUUUCGACAGCCUCCCCGACCAGCUGGUCAGCAAGUCGGUCACUCAGGGCUUCAGCUUCAACAUCCUCUGUGUGGGGGAGACCGGCAUUGGCAAAUCCACACUGAUGAACACACUCUUCAACACGACCUUCGAGACUGAGGAAGCCAGUCACCAUGAGGCAUGCGUGCGCCUGCGGCCCCAGACCUAUGACCUCCAGGAGAGCAACGUGCAGCUCAAGCUGACCAUUGUGGAUGCCGUGGGCUUUGGGGAUCAGAUCAAUAAGGAUGAGAGUUACAGGCCCAUAGUUGACUACAUCGAUGCGCAGUUUGAAAAUUAUCUGCAGGAGGAGCUGAAGAUCCGCCGCUCGCUCUUCGACUACCAUGACACAAGGAUCCACGUUUGCCUCUACUUCAUCACGCCCACAGGGCACUCCCUGAAGUCUCUAGAUCUAGUGACCAUGAAGAAACUAGACAGCAAGGUGAACAUUAUUCCCAUCAUCGCCAAGGCUGACACCAUCUCCAAGAGCGAGCUCCACAAGUUCAAGAUCAAGAUCAUGGGCGAGUUGGUCAGCAACGGGGUCCAGAUCUACCAGUUCCCCACGGAUGAUGAGGCUGUUGCAGAGAUUAACGCAGUCAUGAAUGCACAUCUGCCCUUUGCCGUGGUGGGCAGCACCGAGGAGGUGAAGGUGGGGAACAAGCUGGUCCGAGCACGGCAGUACCCCUGGGGAGUGGUGCAGGUGGAGAAUGAGAAUCACUGCGACUUCGUGAAGCUGCGGGAGAUGUUGAUCCGGGUGAACAUGGAAGACCUCCGCGAGCAGACCCACAGCCGGCACUACGAGCUCUACCGGCGCUGCAAGUUGGAGGAGAUGGGCUUUCAGGACAGCGAUGGUGACAGCCAGCCCUUCAGCCUACAAGAGACAUACGAGGCCAAGAGGAAGGAGUUCCUAAGUGAGCUGCAGAGGAAGGAGGAAGAGAUGAGGCAGAUGUUUGUCAACAAAGUGAAGGAGACAGAGCUGGAGCUGAAGGAGAAGGAAAGGGAGCUCCAUGAGAAGUUUGAGCACCUGAAGCGGGUCCACCAGGAGGAGAAGCGCAAGGUGGAGGAAAAGCGCCGGGAACUGGAGGAGGAGACCAACGCCUUCAAUCGCCGGAAGGCUGCGGUGGAGGCCCUGCAGUCGCAGGCCUUGCACGCCACCUCGCAGCAGCCCCUGAGGAAGGACAAGGACAAGAAGAAGUAGGUGGCAGGCUGCGCCUGCGCUGGCUCCUCUUGCUCCUGUGGGCUCUUGCUUUCGUUCUUGUCCCUCACCUCCCUUCUCGCUCUCCUGCUCGCCCUCUCUUACCCCUUUCCUGUUUGGUUUUCCCUCAUCUUCAGUGGCUCUCCCCCCAGCUUUCUUGGUUGCCUUUUUCUUUCACUAGUGAUCCAGUGUCUCGCCGUCUGGAUUGCUCUGAUACUCAUGCAGUCUCACUUGCACAGGCAAUCUUGUGCUCCCCCUCCCUCUCCCUUCUCCCUUUUUCUCUCCUUCUCUUCCCCCUUCUUCCUCUUCCUCCAACUUUCUUGCUCACCCAUUCGCUCUCCCAUAGCCCCCUUGGCAGCUGUGGCCCUGUUGCAGCGUGGUGAAGGUGGGGCUGCACGGGUGAGGAGCAGCGUGGAGAGGGCGAAGCUGCAGGGCUCUGGGAAUGCUGGGAAUGGUCUUUCAGGCCAGGGGCGGGACAGGACCUGGGAAUGUCAGCAUCUCCAGCCAGAUUCCAAAAGCCGUGGUGGUUUCUGCUUGGACACCUGUGGCGCAUCCCUCCUCAGUCUGUGGGGCAGUGGUGUGGAGCCCGUAUUGGCUGGCAGGUGGUGAUGGAGAACUGCGGGCACUCGCGCCAGCCAACACUGGCCUCCUGGAGACUGGUCACCACACAGCUGUUCUGAAGGGCCCGCAGGGCUUAAGGGAGGAAAGCGGCUUCCCACAGGGGCUCUGUGGGUUCUUUUGGGGAGAAGAGCUGCCCCUCAAGUAGAGGCUGGAGUUGUUCCUGCAGAGUGGAGAGAGGAGAGAAAGACUGGAUGGCAGGGAGGCCUUUCCCAGCACCAGGAGUGCAGUCAACGGAGUAGUCAGGAACUAAGCAGGUGAACCCAACCUGGCCGUCAUUCUCGGGAUCCAUUUCCUCCUGGGAUAUUUGGGGAUGUGUAUGCCCAGGCCCUUCCUUCCUUGGUGGCAAUGGAGCCUAGCCAUUAGGGCCAGCGGGAGUCUGUGACCCAGGUACUGGCACCCAAAGUGACUUUGCCCUGCUUCCUGCCAUCUUGUUAAAGAAAAGGUAGCCAGGAUUCCCUAGGAAAUAAGCUGUGGAGAAACCACUCAGCAACUGCAGACAGGGGUCUGUGGCCAGUUCAGGGUCUGAGGGCCAGUGAAGGUGGGUGCAGGCAGGCUGAAAGGACACCAGCACAGCCCUCGGGGUGGGGGCUUGUCACUGGUGUCUGGUCUCCCUGCUUUUCCCAUGUGGCCUGGGCUCCAUGAUACGUUCUCCAGGCCUGGGCCUGGAAAACAGGUCUUUCCUGUUCUCUGGACCUGCUAGAAAGCUUCAGUCAGUUUGGUCCCUGGGAGAGAAAACGCUCUUCCCAUGACGGCUCUGUGGAGGCCAGGAAUGGGGUAGGUGGGUUGACUGGGAGUACUCCUUCCUGCCGCCCUGGUCAAGGGACUAGUGUGAGUCGGGAGUGCAUUUUUGGAAUGGGGGCAGGGGUGUUUUUCAUGACCAUUUAUUUGAGUGGUUUUGAUUGGUUAUGCAUACUCUUUAAAUUUGAAUCCAAAUUUUUUGCAAAAUUACUUCCCAAUCAGAUCUUGACCCUUAGCCUGGGACACCACAAACUGAGGUGAAUUCUCUGCUUUGCUCGUCACAAAUGCCAAACUGACUGCCCUUUCACGGUGUCCAUCUUGCUGUCUUUUGCUUCUGUUUGAUUUGGUCUGCAUAUCUUUUAAUGUGUCUGUUUUUGUUUUGUUUGUUUUAUUUUUAUUUUUCAGUUAACGCACGCACAGACUUACAUGUCAAGAGUGGACUUUAGACUUUCAUGUGUUAAGUUGCUUGAGUUACACCUUGUGACCCUUCUCCCAUAACAUGGUGUGAGGACGGACUGGGAGCCGGUACAGACUCCAGUGUUUACAGCCUUGCUUUCCUCCCACCGACCCUGGCCCCAGGCUGCCCCGGGCCUGGCGGGCCACCCCUCUCUAUGCAAACACGUAAAAGCCAUGAAUGCUGGAAUCCAAAACUGACGAGGUUUAUUUUUUUCAGAGCCAGUGGCUGGUCUUCCAUUUACAGUGUCACUAUUCCCUGACGGAGCUGUUAUGUGCCGCUCUAGCGAAGGCCCCAGCCGGGAUGCUAGGCCUAAUUGUUCAGCGUGGAGAUGGCAACUCACGUGGUGCCCUAGGUGCAGCUGCGUGGUCUGGUAUACAUGCUGCAAAAUUCACCCAGUUCCCCUCAUUUUAAUUUUUCUAACCUACAGCUUAAUUUUAAUAACUUUAAAACACUUCUAAAUAUUUAUUUUGGCACCAGCGUCAAGACAAAUAAUAUCCUCUCCCAUUAUUUUCAUAAGUAACACAGAUUCCCUGAUUUUUAAAAACUAAAAAUACAGCUAAACCUUUCUUAUGUAUAAAGUAUGCCUAUCAUAUACAGGGAGAGGUGGGUAAUAAACUUCCUGUAAUGACAGUGUUUGGCAUUUCUUUAUGGAUGGAAUUGGAACAUGAACAAGACCAUGUCCAGCGUUUUUACUGUGAAUGUAAAUGGAACAGCAGCCCAAAGCUGUUGUCUGUGCCCCAGAGGUGCUACCUGUAGACAGGGACCAACUCCAUGUGUGUGUGUUAAGUGUUUGACUCCAAUUAAGACUCCCAAGCAAAUCCUGCAUAUUCCAAAUGUAAAGAGUACUCAGUGGGAAAAAGGUUGUUACCUCAAAGUCAUUGCUUCUUUCCUGGCUGGGUCACAGGGUGAAGAGAUGAAGGUGUCUGAUGUAUAUAGACAAUUAGGGAAAAAUGAGCGGCAAAGGAGCUUUCCCCUUCAGCUGCACUCUAAAGGGGAACAUUUUAAGGAAGUACUAGCAGCUUUGACUCUUCUAUGCUCCUGUUGGUUUACAAGCCACCAAGAAUGUCAGUGUUGAGAAUACGGCCUGGUAAAAUGGGAGAUGUAAAAUGACUAAAUGAAAGGAAGGGUAGUUUUAAUGUUGAAGCACCGUGCUGGGCACUGGAGCUACCCAGAGGAAUGCACAACGCUCCCCUCAAGGAGCUCACAGUCUAGCCUACUCCCUGGCUGGAAGCCUCAGGAAGACGUGCUAAUUUAUUGUGGAAUUGGUAGUUUGCUUUUCAUGCCCCUGUCUUCCUUCUCAUGACCAUUUCCCCCUUUCUGUCUGGCUUGCAUUAUUGAUUUCCAGGACCAAGUCCUGGCUUCCUCCUGCCUUCCUGAGAUGAUGUUCUGCUCAGGGAGAAGUGGAGGGGUGAGCUGUGUGUGUCCACCGAGGCACGGCCAGGAAGAGGCAGCCUUUACCUGUGAGGGGCUCCAUGCUCCAGCAGCAGAGCAGGUUCUAGUGACAAUUCAACUUUUUAUGCUAUGACCAGGGGUGGAUCUAAAUUUUAUGGGGCUGAAAGCUUGAAUUAUUUAGAAAGACUUCUUUAAGAAAAACAAUGUUAAUAUAAAAUUAGGUACAGGGUCUUGGAAGGGGCCCUGAAGAUUAAGCUUCCUUAGCGUCACAAUAAGUCCGUAUCUGGUUGCAAUUGAAAACUGAUGCUUCAGUGAGGGUAUCUAAAAAGGUAAACUGGCAUAUCCAGGGCAAAUGUGGGCUGCCAAUGGCUCAUCUCUAGGGUAAUUUUAUGUCUGAAAGUGUAUGCAGUUGGGUCAGAGCAUGACCUUUAAGAUAGCCUCUCUCAGCUAACAUAUUUAUGAAGAUGAGGCCUGGUGACCCAGCAGGUUCAUUGGAUACAUAAGAAAUGAGAAUUCCUGGUUCAUGGGCCAACCUAGGACUCUGGAGUAUGCAGACUUGGCCAUUCGUCCAUUGUGGCCUGCGGGUCGCACCCCAGGCAUACUGAAAGGCCAUACUCGUGGCUGGCUGCCUGCGGGCCUAAGCCUUCCCAGGAUCUUCAGGACACUUGACAGACUUGUGUUUUCUGGUCUGAGCUGCCUCCACAGGUCCCUCCAGCAAGCCUCACUGCACCUCUCCCCUGCUGUUUGUGUUUGGAAUUUUGUCUUCUUUAGCUGAGACCAAAUUAAACCUUGGUGCAUAAAGUGAGCUUAAAACUUGCCACUGUUUAGUAAGUUAGCCCCCAUAGAAUGUGACCCUGUCUGCAGAGUCUCAUUUACCCCUCUUUUUCUCAUUGUCAUUUGUUGGCUUUAUUAGGGCUGUCUUACAGGAUCAUGUUGGCAUUUACUAUCAUGUCUUUAUCAUAAACCAUGUUUGUUUGAGGUAGAAGAAUCACCAUAUAAUUCGUUGCCCAAAUUGGGACUAUUGAGAGAGAAAGGGGAUGCUAUUAAUUACACCAGAUCAAAAGGCAUAAACCAGACCUGUCCCAGGCCGAUGUGGAAAUAUGUUCUUUCUAGUUGUGGGUACCCUGAUCUAGGUGGUUUGUAAUUGUGCAUUACUGACUGCAUAUGUUUGUGUAUGUGUAAAUGUGGGCUCCCUGUUAAGUGGGGCUCAUGGAUACGAGGCCUGAGGAAGUGUGGCUUGCUAGUCUGUUACGUUAACAUGCUUUUCUAAAAUUGCUUCACGUGUUAAUUCAUUUACUCCUGCAUUCAUUGACUGUUUUUGUUCUUUUCCAUUCACUUUGUACUUAUUUUUUUCAUUAAAUUUUGCAUUUAUUUUGA